UGGGGAAUUUUGGACAAUGGACGCAAGUCUNAUCCAGCCAUUCCGCGUGCAGGAUGAAGGCCCUCGGGUUGUAAACUGCUUUUGUACGGAACGAAAAGGUCUCUAUUAAUACUAGGGGCUCAUGACGGUACCGUAAGAAUAAGCACCGGCUAACUACGUGCCAGCAGCCGCGGUAAUACGUAGGGUGCAAGCGUUAAUCGGAAUUACUGGGCGUAAAGCGUGCGCAGGCGGUUAUAUAAGACAGAUGUGAAAUCCCCGGGCUCAACCUGGGAACUGCAUUUGUGACUGUAUAGCUAGAGUACGGUAGAGGGGGAUGGAAUUCCGCGUGUAGCAGUGAAAUGCGUAGAUAUGCGGAGGAACACCGAUGGCGAAGGCAAUCCCCUGGACCUGUACUGACGCUCAUGCACGAAAGCGUGGGGAGCAAACAGGAUUAGAUACCCUGGUAGUCCACGCCCUAAACGAUGUCAACUGGUUGUUGGGUCUUCACUGACUCAGUAACGAAGCUAACGCGUGAAGUUGACCGCCUGGGGAGUACGGCCGCAAGGUUG
rnacentral:rRNA from 1 species